UACGUAGGGGGCUAGCGUUGUCCGGAUGUAUUGGGCGUAAAGAGCGUGUAGGCGGCCAGGUAGGUCUGGUGUGAAAACUCGAGGCUUAACCUUGAGAUGUCAUCGGAAACCAUUUGGCUAGAGUCCGGAAGAGGAAAGUGGAAUUCCUGGUGUAGCGGUGAAAUGCGCAGAUAUCAGGAAGAACACCAAUGGCGAAAGCGCUCUGCUAGGCCGCAACUGACACUGAGGGACGAAAGCUAGGGGAGCGAAUGGG
rnacentral:rRNA from 1 species